UCCGAAGCUAUGGCUGACGAAGUUAGCAGAACAAGAAUAGGUUCUUGAAGGAAGCCAAAGGGGUGCAAAAAAGCACAGAGAGGGCGAUCUGUGGAGAAAAAAGAUUUAAGGGUGAGGAGACAUUCAGACACAUUUACGGAUGGAGGGGAAUGAAAGCAGUUCCUGUCUGCUGCCCCUGGUUUCGGUUUUGCUUGUGCUGAAAGAAUGGCGGGUCAUGUCUGCGUCCUGAGGAGAAUGGGAAAGGUUUGAAGUAGGCACUAUGACUAGAAGGAAGAAAACAAUCUCCGGGCCACGCUGGAACCCCAGCAUGAGUUGGAGGAAUGACAUGCGUUUGCCAGAAUUUCAGCACUGCUGUGGUCUGCUGGAUGCCUCCCCCCCUCCCCGCCCCCUUCUGACGCGAGGUCUUUACUCCUGAGGUGCUGCACCUGAGAAGCCACUCCUGUAAGUGCUUCAAGUGCUCCGGGACCUUAUCUAGCCAACAAGAUCCUGGACUUUGACCUGAUGCCAUAAUAGUAUGAGACUUUUAUUACGGGAUUUGAGAAGGAGUGAGGAUCUUUUGCACUGGGGAGGGAUGUGAAUUGUUAUGGCCAGAGGGUGGACCGUGGUAGCUAGUCUCCAAAGAUUGUCUCCCCAAAUACUCCUUGUAUAUGCUCACCACUCUUCACAUCAAGAGACGGGGUUGUGUCCCUGUCCCUGAAGCCAGACUGGCUCCAACCAAUAGAAUGUGGACAAAGUGACAUUCCAGGUCUUAGGGACAUGGACUCUCUAAGAGAGUUGGCAGCUUCUACUUCCUGUUGUUCCUGAAAUGCUCCCUCUUUGAACCCAGCCACCACUUGUGAGAUACCCAGAACUACAUGGAAGCCAUGGAGAGAACUGAGGUGUCCUAACCAGCAACCCCAGCUGAGUGGCACCAAAUGCAAGCCAAAUGAGAGAGGCCAUUUGGGAUCUACUAGCAAUCCCAGUUCCUCCCAGAUGCCACUUGAAACAGAAAAACUACCCCUAAUGGCACCUGGGUGGCUCAGUCAGUUAAUCCUCUGACUCUUGGUUUUGGCUCAGGUCAUGAUCUCAGGGUUGUGAGAUCGAACCCAGUGUCAGGCUCCGAGCUAAGGGUCAAGCCUGUUUAAGAUUCUCUCUCUCUCUUCCUUUCUCUCUGCUCUUACCCCCGUUUGUGUUUUCUUUCUCUCUCUAAAAAAAGAAAAGAAAAGAAAAACUAUCCAGAUAGCCCACAGAAAUGUGAGAAAUACUUUAAAUUAUUGUGUUAAGCCACUAAGUUUUGGUUGUAUUGAAGACUAUAAGGGAAGGGAACUAAUAAUGCCUGUAGAAUGUUCUCAUCUUGUGCCAGGUAGCCUGCUUACUGCUGUAUACACCAUUUUUCUUAACCUUCACAAAACUUCUGUGAAGAAGGUGGUGGUAAGAUCUAGGGACUGAGGCUGAGACAAAUCGAUAAAAAUGACAUAGCUACUAAAAAAAAAAAAAAAAAAGACAUAGCUACUAAGUAGUACUACAGAAUUCAAAUCUAGAUUAUUUCACUCUGAUGCCUGCAUUCUUUUUAGUAUAUCAUGACACUCACCAGUAUUUUAUAAUUAAUAGGAAAACUUCAAGUUUAACAUAGAGAAAAACAUGAUUUGCAAUUUGAAAAAUAUUAUUUUAGAAACCUUUAUAUUAGUAAGUACCAGAAAGGUCUUAUUUUAUGUACAAUGCUAACAUAUAGAUAGUCAAAGCCUUUUGGUUUAUCAUAGUCUCAAUAAAUAGACUUUUGUUGAACUCAA